rnacentral:tRNA from 1 species
GCCCCCGUGGCUCAACGGAUAGAGCAAGUGAAUUCUAAUCACUAGAUUGGGGGUUCGAAUCCCUCCGGGGGCG